GCGUGCUAAUCUGCGAUAAGCGCCGGUAAGGUGAUAUGAACCGUUAUAACCGGCGAUACCCGAAUGGGGAAACCCAGUGUGACUCGUCACACUAUCAUUAACUGAAUCCAUAGGUUAAUGAGGCGAACCGGGGGAACUGAAACAUCUAAGUACCCCGAGGAAAAGAAAUCAACCGAGAUUCCCCCAGUAGCGGCGAGCGAACGGGGAGGAGCCCAGAGCCUGAAUCAGCAUGUGUGUUAGUGGAAGCGUCUGGAAAGGCGCGCGAUACAGGGUGACAGCCCCGUACACAAAAGCGCAUGUGCUGUGAGCUCGAUGAGUAGGGCGGGACACGUGGUAUCCUGUCUGAAUAUGGGGGGACCAUCCUCCAAGGCUAAAUACUCCUGACUGACCGAUAGUGAACCAGUACCGUGAGGGAAAGGCGAAAAGAACCCCGGCGAGGGGAGUGAAAAAGAACCUGAAACCGUGUAC
rnacentral:rRNA from 1 species